AACGAACGCUGGCGGCAUGCCUAACACAUGCAAGUCGAACGAGACCUUCGGGUCUAGUGGCGCACUGGUGCGUAACGCGUGGGAACCUGCCCUUAGGUUCGGAAUAACUCCCCGAAAGGGGUGCUAAUACCGGAUAAUGUCUUCGGACCAAAGAUUUAUCGCCUUUGGAUGGGCCCGCGUUGGAUUAGCUAGUUGGUAGGGUAAAAGCCUACCAAGGCGACGAUCCAUAGCUGGUCUGAGAGGAUGAUCAGCCACACUGGGACUGAGACACGGCCCAGACUCCUACGGGAGGCAGCAGUGGGGAAUAUUGGACAAUGGGCGAAAGCCUGAUCCAGCAAGGCCGCGUGAGUGAUGAAGGCCUUAGGGUUGUAAAGCUCUUUUACCCGGGAUGAUAAUGACAGUACCGGGAGAAUAAGCUCCGGCUAACUCCGUG
rnacentral:rRNA from 1 species